UCCCUCGUGGUCCAACGGUUAGGAUUUCACGCUUUCACCGUGACGGCCAGGGUUCGACUCCCUGCGGGGGAG
rnacentral:tRNA from 1 species